UCUGGUGACCCUCGCCCGUGAUAUUGCUGGAAUAUUGCUAAAGCGGCGUAAAACCAUACUCACAUACUCACAUAUUGUCUUAACAUUCCAAUGGCAAGUGGCGUUUGGUUUGAUUUGAUAUGACUUAAAGCUUGUGUAGAAUACUCUUUGUACCUGCAACUUGAGAUCGUCACUGUGUCAACUUAAAGCACACAUACAGCCCAUUCAAUAUUAUUCAGUUAUUGUGACGACAAUAACAUUUAUUGUAACUUCCUAGUUGUUCAAACGCUAAACACAUUGUACAUUCAGAAAGUCGAAGUGUACUGAGCAUAACGGUGCUAAUAAUGUUUCCCUGUGCAUAUACCUUCCUUGUCGUUCGGAAGCUGUACACAUAAGUCAUGCAUUUGUCAUACAUAGUUGACACGAUCUGUAAACACGAUCCGGGCUGUUCAACAUGGUUGGCUUUAGGAUCUUUGGUGUUGCAAUCCUCUCGGGACUGAUAGAGCUGACAUCGGGUGAGUGUACUUAAGUUAUAUCCUUAUAUUGAUUUUAUCUGUUUUCCUGUUGGCUUAGGUCAAAGUUUCCUUCCUCGUCCAUGUAAUAGGUGUAGCCGUUGCAGUAGAGACGCAUGCCACACAGGGAAACGAAUAAUGUCACUGAUCCAACUUGUUAUGAGGUUCCUGCCCACAAGGAAUGUUUGGAGACUCCUGUAGAUACUCCUGUCACUGUGCAUCUUGUAACGAGACAACAGGUGCCUGUUCAGAUCCCCUGCGACUCUGGUUGGAUUAUGGGAGGAAGCAUGUGCCAGAAGCAAAACAUUGCUCUGAACAAGACAGCAUCAACAACAUCUGGAGUGGAGGAAGGUUGGUCCCCAUCAAAGGCCGUGGAUGGAGACAAUGACACUGAUGGUGAGGGCAGAACCUGUUUCCACGCUCUAAGAUCUCGGUCAGACUGGACAGUGGAUCUGGGCUCGGGACUUCCAGCUGUAUGACAUCAUCAGGAUUUACAGUAGAAAUGGAUCUCACUGGAGAAACGCCAACUCUACCAUCUACCUGAACAACACUACCAACACCAACACCACCAACUGCUCUACCCUCCCGAGUUCAUCCAAAACCACCACCAGCCAAACUGAUGUGACGUGUAACG